CAGGGAUGUUAAAAGCGGAGGGAUGACCGCCAAUUGGCGCGGGACGCGGAGGCGGGAAACAAACGGCGGCUAACGGCUGACCGCGGGGGCGGAGCCGUUAAUACGGCUGGCGCUCCGCCAUGGCCAGAAAUAGCCCCCACCCUAAGCAGAGAGGCUCCUGCUGCGCUAUCCACACCCCAGAGACUGAGGCGGUGCCCCCAGGGUGACAUUUGGGAAACGUGAUAAUUCUGUUCAUCACAAGUGUGGUUUGCACCUCUUACGCCAAUUAAACUGCAAGACAGGCUGCGUUUCGUACAUCACCCAGCCAAUGAACCGGGCGUACCGCUGCCACGGCAAUGGGCGCCGCCAGCAACCACCAAGUCUCACUCUGCCAGGCUGCCCAGUCGCCCUCUGGCACGGCUCUUGAGAGCAACCAGCAGCACACCCCCCAGACAGCGAUGAUUCCUUGGAUUCUCCAUAAACACCGGGCUGCUUCCCCCUGGGAGUGGAAAAAUAAAUAAAUAUCCGGGGGGCGGAUUUUAUCGCCGUUAUUUCUGCUGGGUGAUUUUGUUUUUCUCUCUUUUUUCCCAGUGAGAAAUUUCUCUGCUUUCAUGUCACAUUGUUUUGUGCUUUAAUAUUUUAAACGGCAAGAGUCAUAUUUCAAGUUCUAGUAGCAGCGGAUCCCCUAUCGUUCACUGGAACCGCUAGCAGAAGUAGGCUUCCGUGCAGUAGCUUUCAUUUCAGAUUGGCAGACAUCAGCUUGGGAGAAGCUUUGAUGAGAGCUGCAGCCUCCAUGUCAUUUUCAUGAAGAGCCACGUUGCUACAAAAGUACAGCCUGAUCUCAACCUAAUGUCCACUCGUUUCACGUAUUCGUUCUUUGAUGGCUUAAACUAUUAAAACCAGUUUGUGUGUUUCCUA